CCCACUUGCCUUGGCUAAUAAUCCUCUGCACCAGGGACUUCCCACCGGUUCUGGGAUGUUAGGAAAGCAUGCUGCUUGGACUUGUGCAUCUUCCAGAAAGUUCUCCAAGAUGUGUGUCUAGGAUGUCAUUCAGUCAUUCAAGUUUUCUGUAUCCAGUUCUCUUCCCUGAGAGUGGGGUCUCCAGCCUCUCUUGGGUUCUAACUCCUAAGGCAGACCAUGAACCUUUAGAGCCUUCUGAGAGCCUGAGGUUGUUUUCAGGAGAAAAUAGAUAAAGAAGGAGGAGAACAGCGUAGAGGAAAGUUAAGCCAGCAUACGCUCUUGUCUGGGGUUCAGCCUCAACCUGACUGUGCAGACAGAUCUGAGACAGUGAACUGUGCUAUACAGUAGAUUCCGCCGUAUCAGCCUUUGGUGGUGCCUCUUCCUUGAAGGACAGGAAGAAGGAAAUAGAAGUUGGAGAACUGAAUCUCUCAGCCUGAAACGCAACACCCAUCUGCUGAAGGCUUUUAACUGCAGGCGGAAGCAAUCAUCCAUGGACUGGGAACUGCAAACAGUGGGAGUGGGCACACUGUUGGUAAAGGGGACCUCAGUGGGGAGUCAGCAACAUAUGGCAGUGGAUCUGGUGAAAAGUUCAACAAACCUGGAUUGUUCGUGUCAUGUUCAUUCAUGAAAACUGUUUGGCUUGGGGCUGGAGAAAGCUCGGUGGUUAAGAGUACCUUCCUACACUUCCAGAGGACUAGAGUUCAGUUCCCAGCACCCACAUCAGGUGGCUCACAACUGCCUGUAUUACAGCUCCAGCUCCAGGUGAUCCAAUACCGUAAUCACAUGAGUAUAUGAUUUUUUUUUUAAACUUCAGAAUUGGUUAGCUCUUGCUGGGCUCUCUAAGGAGCCGGUUUCUAAGUCGUUGAGAUAUCCUGUUCAAUAUAAGCAUACACAAAAGUCUUAGAUCCCAUCCCAUUAAUAGUCUGCAUUAACAAUAUGAUCUUUGCUGGGGACUUGGACCAGAAAUUAGCUUUACCUUGGCUUCUAGAGGGUUUGAACUCAACCAACAUGGGCAGUCAACUAUACCUGUGUGACUGAUCUUCCAAUAAAGUUUUGGACACCGAGGGUCCAGUGAAUUUCUCUCACUGACAGAACUUGGUAAACACUGUCAUAUACACAGCUGGGAGGAGUAAGUGCUGCCUACCUGAUUCCGUUUUCAGAUAAAC
ensembl:lncRNA